rnacentral:rRNA from 1 species
UGAAGAAUUUGUCCAACGGCGGGGGAUAGCCGGCCCAACGGCCGGGUAAUACCGCGUACGACCUCUCGGGGACAUCCCCGGUUGGUGAAAGCAGCAAUGCACCGAAAGAGUGCCUCGCGGCCUAUCAGCUAGUUGGUGGGGUAACGGCUCACCAAGGCGGCGACGGGUAGCUGGUCUGAGAGGAUGGCCAGCCACAUUGGAACUGAGACACGGUCCAGACUCCGUACGGGAGGCAG